rnacentral:lncRNA from 13 species
UAGUCCCAUUGUUGAAAAGUUCAACUAGAAAGAUCAGGAAAAGGAGCAUGGUGCAUAAAAAACAUUACUAUACCUACUUUCCCUUCUGCAGCUAAAUUAAUGCAGUAGAAAUGAAGAAUCAGUUUACAUCAGCCUACACUUCUGAGCAGUGCAGGAGGACUAUGACAUCCACACACUUCAAAGGUGGAAAACAGAGGGACAAGUGUUCAUUUACUUGUCAGGAGAUGUCUGAAGCCUACUUCAGAAUGCAAGGAAGCAGAUGCCAAGGGGAUAGAAGUAGAAGCUGAUUGGGAAGACUGCUUGUGAAAGAUAAAGGGGAGAAGAGCACGGCAAGAGGUCCUUAUCCUUCAUGGCAAGAGAGAUGGAGCUCUUGGAAUAUUCUUCUUCCUUGAUCAAAAUACCCUCCAUCUAAGAAAGAUUCACUUCUCUUGCAGAAAUACCACAUCUGUCUGGUAAGUUCUUUGUGACAUAGCCUGAACCACUUUGAAGGUAAGUAACAAAAUUUGAUGUAUAUUUCCAUUUGUCAUUUAUAAACUAUUUUAUAUUUGCCCUAUUUUCUCAAAAAGUGUAUUCUUUCAUGGCAGAAAACAUGUCAUCUAGGUUCUUUCCCUUCUACACUACCUGGGAGACUAUUGGAUGGUUGGAAACAUAAAUAUCUGUGUUUUGAAUAUCUCAAUAUUAUAAUCUGUAAAACUCAUUCUAGAAAACCACUAAAGUGCUAUUUUGAUGAUUAUUGCAAUUAUAUUUGAAAGCAUUGCUAAAAUGGAC